GAAAUUUUAUAAACGACUGAACUUCCUGGCAGCUGGUGAUCAAGGCUUUGAUACACCAGACAUGCCGCCACGGGAGGACGAAGGCGUACCAUCUGCGUCCUCCGUGAAGGAAAGUAUAACACCUGACGCCGCCCUGCCGGAGAG